CGGAUUGCAGGCUGCAACUCGCCUGCAUGAAGCUGGAAUUGCUAGUAAUCGCGGAUCAGCAUGCCGCGGUGAAUACGUCCCCGGGCCUUGUACACACCGCCCGUCACACCAUGAGAGUCGGGAACACCCGAAGUCCGUAGUCUAACCGCAAGGAGGGCGCGGCCGAAGGUGGGUCCGGUAAUUGGGGUGAAGUCGUAACAAGGUAAC
rnacentral:rRNA from 1 species